AUUGAACGCUGGCGGCAGGCUUAACACAUGCAAGUCGAGCGGGGAAGGGUAGCUUGCUACCUAACCUAGCGGCGGACGGGUGAGUAAUGCUUAGGAAUCUGCCAUUUAGUGGGGGACAACAUUCCGAAAGGAAUACUAAUACCGCAUACGUCCUACGGGAGAAAGCAGGGGAUCUUCGGACCUUGCGCUAAAUGAUGAGCCUAAGUCGGAUUAGCUAGUUGGUGGGGUAAAGGCCUACCAAGGCGACGAUCUGUAGCGGGUCUGAGAGGAUGAUCCGCCACACUGGGACUGAGACACGGCCCAGACUCCUACGGGAGGCAGCAGUGGGGAAUAUUGGACAAUGGGCGGAAGCCUGAUCCAGCCAUGCCGCGUGUGUGAAGAAGGCCUUUUGGUUGUAAAGCACUUUAAGCGAGGAGGAGGCUACUUAGAUUAAUACUCUAGGAUAGUGGACGCUACUCGCAGAAUAAGCACCGGCUAACUCUGUGCCAGCCGCCGCCGUAAUAC
rnacentral:rRNA from 1 species